GAUGAACGCUGGCGGCGUGCCUAAUACAUGCAAGUCGAGCGAACAGACGAGGAGCUUGCUCCUCUGACGUUAGCGGCGGACGGGUGAGUAACACGUGGAUAACCUACCUAUAAGACUGGAAUAACUUCGGGAAACCGGAGCUAAUACCGGAUAAUAUAUUGAACCGCAUGGUUCAAUAGCGAAAGACGGUUUUGCUGUCACUUAUAGAUGGAUCCGCGCCGCAUUAGCUAGUUGGUAAGGUAACGGCUUACCAAGGCAACGAUGCGUAGCCGACCUGAGAGGGUGAUCGGCCACACUGGAACUGAGACACGGUCCAGACUCCUACGGGAGGCAGCAGUAGGGAAUCUUCCGCAAUGGGCGAAAGCUUGACGGAGCAACGCCGCGUGAGUGAUGAAGGUCUUCGGAUCGUAAAACUCUGUUAUUAGGGAAGAACAAAUGUGUAAGUAACUAUGCACGUCUUGACGGUACCUAAUCAGAAAGCCACGGCUAACUACGUG
rnacentral:rRNA from 1 species